GCCAGUGUGCUAUAGUGGUUUGAGUGUUAGACUAUGACGCUGGAGACUAGGGUUUGAAUCCCCACUCAGCCA